CUGGCUCAGGACGAACGCUGGCGGCGUGCCUGAUACAUGCAAGUCGAACGGUCCUUUCUAUGGAAGCUUGCUUCCACUGAGAAGAUAGUGGCGAACGGGUGAGUAACACGUGGGUAACCUGCCCAUAAGAGGGGGAUAACAUCCGGAAACGGGUGCUAAUACCGCAUAGUUUUCUUGAUCGCAUGAUUGAGAAAGGAAAGACGGCCUUUGUGCUGUCGCUUAUGGAUGGACCCGCGGCGUAUUAGUUAGUUGGUGAGGUAACGGCUUACCAAGACGAUGAUACGUAGCCGACCUGAGAGGGUGAUCGGCCACAUUGGGACUGAGACACGGCCCAAACUCCUACGGGAGGCAGCAGUAGGGAAUCUUCCGCAAUGGACGAAAGUCUGACGGAGCAACGCCGCGUGAGUGAAAGAAGGUUUUCGGAUCGUAAAACUCUGUUGUCAGAGAAGAACAAGUUGGAGAGUAACUGCUCCAGCCUUGACGGUAUCUGACCAGAAAGCCACGGCUAACUACGUGCCAGCCGCGGC
rnacentral:rRNA from 1 species